rnacentral:ncRNA from 1 species
AUAAAAGCGUUGAGAAGAAGAGUACAUUUUUGGACAGUUUUAAGAGACCUCGGAUGGUGAGAAAGAGGAGCUACGAAGAAAAUGGAAGAUGGUCUUUGAGCAUAAAAAAGCGAGCUACUUAGUUAACUUUUUUCGGGAGUUCCCGUUAUUGGACAACAGUAUUCAAAGAAUUUUCUUGCGUACUGGGUAAGGUCAUUGUUGUGAAAUGAUGACAAACUAAAGGUGGUAACACGAAAUGCUUUCGUCCUUUGU